UGGGGAAUUUUGGACAAUGGGCGAAAGCCUGAUCCAGCAAUGCCGCGUGUGUGAAGAAGGCCUUCGGGUUGUAAAGCACUUUUGUCCGGAAAGAAAUCCUUGGCUCUAAUACAGUCGGGGGAUGACGGUACCGGAAGAAUAAGCACCGGCUAACUACGUGCCAGCAGCCGCGGUAAUACGUAGGGUGCAAGCGUUAAUCGGAAUUACUGGGCGUAAAGCGUGCGCAGGCGGUUUGCUAAGACCGAUGUGAAAUCCCCGGGCUCAACCUGGGAACUGCAUUGGUGACUGGCAGGCUAGAGUAUGGCAGAGGGGGGUAGAAUUCCACGUGUAGCAGUGAAAUGCGUAGAGAUGUGGAGGAAUACCGAUGGCGAAGGCAGCCCCCUGGGCCAAUACUGACGCUCAUGCACGAAAGCGUGGGGGAGCAAACAGGAUUAGAUACCCUGGUAGUCCACGCCCUAAAACGAUGUCAACUAGUUGUUGGGGAUUCAUUUUCUAGUAACGUAGCUAACGCGUGAAGUUGACCGCCUGGGGAGUACGGUCGGCAAGAUUAAAACUCAAAUGAAUUGACGGGGUCAUAGCUGUUUCCU
rnacentral:rRNA from 1 species